UCUGCUCCUCCUCCGCCCCUUGGGUCCCUCCAAGCCCAAGGUCCCGAGCCCCAGCCAGGGGUCCUGAGGAAAGGCUCUCACUUCGGGAACCCAGCCAGACGAGGUGCGCAAAGCUGUUUCAGGCAGAAGGACCAGGAUGUGCAAAUGCUUGGAGGAGACGCUCAGCCAGGAGCGUUCAGGGAAUCGACGGCGCUCUGGUGGACGGGAGCUGGGCCCGUGGUUGUGCUCUGAGGGUGGCAGGAGCCACGGGGGGGCGGGGGGGGGGCGCAGAACGGAAGAGUGAGGCGAUCUCAGCUGUUCAGAGGCUGCCGGGGCUUCACGGGGGAAGAGGAGGCACACGGGAUACUAUCUGAACAUACCAGCUGAAGAAUUCCUGGCCUGGCUCAGUGGAAACAAAGCUGACUAGCAUCCAUGAGGACGCAGGUUCGAUCCCUGGCCUCAACGAGUGGGCUAAGGAUCUGGUGCUGCUGUGGCUCUGGCGUAGGCCAGCAGUUAAAGCUCUGAUUCGACCCCUAGCCUGGGAAUCUCCAUAUGCCUUGGAUGCAGCCCUAGAAAGCCAAACAAAAGAAAACAAAAAACCAAAACCCAUGCUCACUAGUUGAAUGAACAGUGGCUUGGCCAGAGUGAUGCCUGGACUUGGGAGAAGUGGCUGGAGCUUUGACCUUUUAAGUUAAGACAGAAAAGAGGGGGGGGGGGGGGGGAGGUGCGACGUCCCCCUGGAGACCUGGCUCUCAGCAUGUAGACGCUGGAAGCGCUUAGGCCGAGAUGGGAGAGCUGGUGGGUGGAGCGGGUUUAAGGGAAGUUCGGGAGGUGGACUUCCACCACAUCGAGGCUGAAAUGUCCCAGCAGCUUCCGGACGCACUGAAUGCGGGUCCGAGUCACGCUGAGGGAGUCUGCUGGGGGACAUGCAGUUGGCAGUGGCCAGCCUGCGAGGCGGAGUCAGGGUCAGACUUGGCGGGAGCACCUUGGCGGGUCACGGCCCAGAUGCCGCACACGGGCAGCUGAGGACCACGUGGCUGGCUUGGGCACCUGGGCAGGAGCGGUAGGUGUCACGAAGUCAGAUAAAGGGAGGAGCAGCCGCCCGAGGGAAGGUUCGUGUGGGAGAGGAGGGCAAGCCGGUGACCCAGGUCCCCGGGGAGGAGGCUGAGGCGAAACGCAGAUGCAGGAAGAUGAGGACGGGACCAUGGCUGGUGUUUACUCGCCCCCUCCGAGGCCUGUGCGUUUCAGGCAGGGCGGCAGAUGAGCUCCGUGGCAGAUACUCAGCCGGGAGGGUCCCAGGCCGGGGGUGGGAGGGGACUCUGUGCCUUAGGAGAACAGCAUACCUUGGGUGGGGAGGGAACAGCCUGCACAAAGCCAAAGCCCAGGACACCCCAGAGAGCUGCGUCUGCAUGUGGGGUGGCUGGCAGAUGCCCCUCGUGUGGGCCAGGGUGGCGGUGGUGGGGUCUGGAGAUGUGUGAUAGAAGCCUGACAGGAGUUGCCGUUGUGGCGCAGUGGAAAGGAAUCCGACUCAUAACCAUGAGGCUGCGGGUUUGAGCCCUGGCCUUGCUCAGUGGGUUAAGGAUCCAGUGUUGCUGUGAUCUGUGGCGUAGGUCACAGACGAGGCUCGGAUCCCGCAUUGCUGUGGCUGUGGCGUAGGCCAGCAGCUGUAGCUCCGAUUUGACCCUGAAUCUGGGAACCUCCAUAUGCUGCAGGUAUGGCCCUGGGGGAAAAAAAGCAGCCUGGUGUGCGUGUGCAGGGGAGGUGAGAAUUUGUGGACUGGAGUCUGGGGGUGGGAGGGCCUUUGGAAGAAAGGGAGGCUCCAGCCUGUUGUUUCUGGGAGGCAGGAUCUGGAGAUCCAGGGAAUUGCCUGGCAGGAGGCAGCAGGGUGCUACAUGCCAGGAUCAGGGUUUAGUGGGCAUCUAUCUGCCCACUUGCCUGCUCUUUGAAGGACGACAGUCAACAGUGGGAUAAUACAGUGGCACCCACUGACCCUGCAGCUUGGGAAGAGAAAGUGGGUGACCUAGGAGUGUUUUGGGGAGGAUGAUUUAGGGGUCGGAGACUGGCCACCAGAGAGGUGGUGUGAUGCAGGGUCACAAGUCUAGGCCUAUGUGGGUUCUUCGGCACAUUUUUUGUUUUAUUUUCUAUUUUUUGCUUUUUAGGGCUGCACCCGCAGCACAUGGAAGUUCCCAGGCUAGGGGUCGAAUCGCAGCUACAGCUGCCAGCUGACAUCACAGCUCGUCAGAUCCUCAGGCCACUGAGCGAGGCUAGGGAUCGAACCCACAUCCUCAUGGGUGCUAGCUGGGUUCAUUAACCACUGAACCAUGAAAGUAACUCCAGAUUUGCGCGUUUUU
rnacentral:lncRNA from 1 species